GAUGAACGCUGGCGGCGUGCCUAAUACAUGCAAGUCGAGCGAACAGACGAGGAGCUUGCUCCUCUGACGUUAGCGGCGGACGGGUGAGUAACACGUGGAUAACCUACCUAUAAGACUGGGAUAACUUCGGGAAACCGGAGCUAAUACCGGAUAAUAUAUUGAACCGCAUGGUUCAAUAGUGAAAGACGGUUUUGCUGUCACUUAUAGAUGGAUCCGCGCCGCAUUAGCUAGUUGGUAAGGUAACGGCUUACCAAGGCAACGAUGCGUAGCCGACCUGAGAGGGUGAGCGGCCACACUGGAACUGAGACACGGUCCAGACUCCUACGGGAGGCAGCAGUAGGGAAUCUUCCGCAAUGGGCGAAAGCCUGACGGAGCAACGCCGCGUGAGUGAUGAAGGUCUUCGGACCGUAAAACUCUGUUAUUAGGGAAGAACAAAUGUGUAAGUAACUAUGCACGUCUUGACGGUACCUAAUCAGAAAGCCACGGCUAACUACGUG
rnacentral:rRNA from 1 species